UCUUGCUGCUUCCUGCUAGGAGUGAGGCUUGCUCUGCUGCCGCCAUGUUAUGAAUGCCAGGAGGAAGCUGGGGAGGGGUCAGCAGAGCCCCGGAGGGUGUGACCAGAGCAGGAGAGGGCAGCCGUGUCCUGGGGCCUGCGAGGCCUAAACCAGGACCAUCCCUAACACCCCCGCUCCCUUCCUGCACUUCGUUUUCACCAUCCAGUGCAUUUUGGGUGAAUCUAAUUCAGAUGCAAAGUCUGAAAUGAAGGUGUCGAGGGCGGUUCCGUCAGGAGGCUCUGAGAGAAUCACCCAGGCCUCUCUCCAGCUUCUGUGCUGCCAGCAGUCCUCGGUGUUCUCAGGCUUAUAGCCACAUCACCCGUGUCUGCCUCCAUCCUCAUGCAGCCUUCUCCUCUGUGUCUGUCUAAAGUCUCCCUUUCAUUUCUCUUACGAGGACACCAGUCAUUGGAUUUAGAGCCCACCCUAAAUCCAGGAUCAUCUCAUCUCAAGAUUACACGACACAGACGCCAUUUCACGGUCACAGGUGCCAGGGGUUAGGAUUUGAACAUAACGUUUUGAAGGACAUGAUUCAACCCACAGCCAGUGCUCAGGGCGGUUGGGUGGGGGCCUGUGCUGGGGGCCCAAAAGCCAGGGCGUGAAGCUGCACUCCACACUCAGCCUGUGACACCUCCCACAAGCUUCUUCACCUCUCAAGCCUCAGCUUCUACUUCUGCAAACAGGGGACAAUAAAAGUAUCUCCCUGCCCCACAUUGAAGGGUCUCCAGUUCCAUUGUCUACACACUGACCCAGGAGUUACCUGAAAUUGCGGUUCAUCUGCUUAAACCUUCUGGGUUUCCAGCACCCCCCAGAUGUCCCCACCCUCUAGUCCCUUAUCAGGACACUGGCCCUGUGUGGUCUUCCCGCCUUCCUUGCCAGCUGCCUCUCUCCUCACUGGGACCUGAGCGGCACUGCAGAGCGUGCAGGUCUUCUCUCAUCUCUGUGCUUUGCCUCCACUCUCUGACUUCUCUCUCAUCCCCCUGAGUGAGAGAUGAGGGGGCAAGGGAGGGAGAAGGGUUAGAGAGAGAGAAGGGGUGGGUUGGGGGAGAUGGAAUCUGCAGUCUUUCAUACCCUGUGGAGAUGCCCCGUGUAAGCCACUGAAGCCUCUGGCCAACCGCAGCGAGCACCUGAGAUGCGUCCGCAGAGUGGGCGGGAGCUUGGAAGCGGAUCCUCCAGCCCCAGCCAAGCCUUCAGAUGGUGCAGCCUCAGGAGCAACCUGACUGCAGCCUUGUGAGACCCUGAGCCAGAAACACCCCACCAAUCCACUCCCAGACCCCUGGCCCUCACAACCUGGGAGGUAAUAAUUACUUACGGCCGUUUGAAGCUGCUAUGUCGGGUAUAAUUUGUUACACAGUGAUAGCUAACUGGUACAGUCCCGGGACUCCCAGCAGUUUGGAAUAUCAGUCAUUUUAGCAAGGCCAGGAAGUUAACUGUGGGUCAUUGCAGCAGCUGCACUUGGAGAUUACGAUAAAGAAGCUUUCUCAGACUGGUUUGAACAAGGUGGUGAAUUCCUUGCAAGGACACAGAGGUGUCUCUCAAAACCCAAGGACAGGGGACAGCAGGCCUCAGGAGGAACUGGAACCUCCAUCCCUUCUCUCUGCUUCUCUUUACUCCUCUGUUCUCAGCUUCUUGGAGUACUUGGCAGUCAGGAAGUGGUCAUUUCAAUUCUUCAGGUCAGGAGACCAGCUCAGAAAUAACUCCACCAACACAAGUGUUGGUCCGUCUUCGUCUUGGCUCCAUUUGUCACGGCGGGAGAUGGUGAUGAAGAGAAACAUCAGGACCCUUGGUAGGCACCGCAGGUGAGAGAGAGGAGAGGCCAGCUCGAAGAGAAGGCUGCGAGAAACACCCAUGUGUCUUGCCAGCAUGACACGUGGCACAUCCUUCUUUCAGGAGGCAAGUGUGUAGCCAAAGGCAGGUGCAGGGUUCAAAAGUCAGAAACUGGACCAACUGUUUUCUCCCACCCUGAGCACUAGGGGGAACUCUCCUCACAAAUCCACCAUCCGCCGUCACCAGCUGUGCUCAUCUGACCCUUUAUGCAGGCACGCGCUAGACCCGACUUGGGUUCUGUCCCCUUUGCUUGAGGACUGAAAGGCCUGGGAGACGCAAAAGCUUCGGGCUCCAGCCAUCUCCCCAUGUCAGGUGGGCCUUUUGCCCAGUGUGUCCAGUUGGUGAUGCUACAAAGAUGCACGAAGCUGGAUUCAGAGGCCACCUGUAGUGCUGCCCUGACUUCAGACCUGAGUUGGGACCAGCAGCAGGGAGGGGACUGGGAGCCAGAGGAGGCCUCACGGUGGCAGCACAGACAGGUAGGGGUCCAAGACAGGCCACACAUGUUCAAACUCAAGUGUGGGCAGAGGAGCAUGGGCAGCCCGGAGCCCUGAGCUCACCCCACACCUGACAUGAAUGAGGUCACCCAAAAUCAGCCUGUCACACUGUCCUGGCAGCCAGUCACAUGCUACACUGGUAAACAAAUAUUGCACAGGCCAGCAAGCAGGACCCGUGCAGCAGCCAUCCUCCUUAACUGGCCUGUGGGGGCCCCGGGAUGAUGCCAUCGCCACAGGUCUGGAGUUCCUCAAGGUACCUGGUCAGCACAGCUCAGUUGAACAAUGGGCAAAAGACCCGAACAGACCCCUCACCAGAGAAGAUGUACAGAGGAAGUAAGCCUCCACAAAGGUGCACGUCCGUGUCGUGUGUCGCUAGGGAACGGACGGCACCAAUGGCUGCUGAGCCUGUGGAGCAGCAGGAACUCUCAUUAGCUGCUGGUGAGAAAAAUGGCACCGGCCCAAGAGGGAACCCUGACGCAGACCCUGGGCCUCAGCGGAAACGCUGUGUCACUGCAGCUGCCCCGCUCUGGUGCGGGUGCUGAUAACGGGCUGUGCAUGCGGGGAGAGAGGACCCACGGGAACACUCUGCUUCCCACCUGCUUUUGCUGUGAACUUAAACUGCUGUUAAAAAUA